rnacentral:rRNA from 1 species
UACGGAGGAUGCGAGCGUUAUCCGGAUUUACUGGGUGUAAAGGGAGCGUAGACGGUAAUGUAAGUCUGAUGUGAAAGCCCGGGGCUCAACUGCGGUAGUGCAUUUGGAACUGUAUGGCUGGAGUGCAGGAGAGGCAGGCGGAAUUCCUAGUGUAGCGGUGAAAUGCGUAGAUAUUAGGAGGAACACCAGUGGCGAAGGCGACUUUCUGGACUGUAACUGACGUUGAGGCACGAAAGUGUGGGGAGCAAACAGG